UUACCACAGGGAUAACUGG
rnacentral:snRNA from 1 species